GACGAACGCUGGCGGCGUGCUUAACACAUGCAAGUCGAACGGACAGGCCCUGCUUUUGUGGGGUUCUCGAUUGGCGAACGGGUGAGUAACACGUGUGUAACCUGCCCUUGACUUUCGGAUAACUUCUGGAAACUGGGGCUCAUACCGGAUAGGAGCUCCUGCUGCAUGUUGGUGGUUGGAAAGUUUCGGCGGUUGUGGAUGGACUCGCGGCUUCUCAGCUUGUUGGUCGGGUAGUGGCUUACCAAGGCUUUGACGGGUAGCCGGCCUGAGAGGGUGACCGGGGACAAUGGGACUGAGAGAGGGCGCAGAAGCCUACGGGAGGCAGCAGGGGGGAAUAUGGCAGAAUGGGCGGAAGCGUGAGGCAGCAACGCCGGGAGCGGGAUGACGGCCUACGGGGGGAAAACAGAUGUCGAAGGAGACGAAGAGUGAGUGACGGUAAUGGGUAAAGAAGCACCGGCUAACUACGUG
rnacentral:rRNA from 1 species